GUAGUCAUAUGCUUGUCCCAAAGAUUAAGCCAUGCAUGUCUAAGUAUAAGCAAUUAUACAGCGAAACUGCGAAUGGCUCAUUAUAUAAGUUAUCGCUUAUUUGAUAGUACCUUACUACUUGGAUAACCGUGGUAAUUCUAGAGCUAAUACAUGCUAAAAAUCCCGACUUCGGAAGGGAUGUAUUUAUUAGAUUAAAAACCAAUGCCCUUCGGGGCUCUCUGGUGAUUCAUGAUAACUUCUCGAAUCGCAUGGCCUUGCGCCGGCGAUGGUUCAUUCAAAUUUCUUCCCUAUCAACUUUCGAUGUUUGGGUAUUGGCCAAACAUGGUUGCAACGGGUAACGGGGAAU
rnacentral:rRNA from 1 species